AUAUGAGGGGUGCAAGCGUUGUUCGGAAUUACUGGGCGUAAAGGGAGCGUAGGCGGAGAUUCAAGCGGAUUGUACAAUCCCGGGGCCCAACCCCGGCUCUGCAGUCCGAACUGGAUCUCUUGGAUAGUUCAGGGGCAGGCGGAAUUCCUGGUGACGCGGUGGGAUGCGUAGAGAUCAGGAAGAACACCGAUGGCGAAGGCAGCCUGCUGGGGACUUAUCGACGCUGAGGCUCGAAAGUGCGGGUAGCAAACAGGAUUAGAUACCCUGGUAGUCCGCACCGUAAACGAUGCAUACUGGGUGUCCGGGGGUUCCCCCGGGUACCGUAGCCAACGCGUUAAGUAUGCCGCCUGGGGAGUACGUACGCAAGUAUGAAACUCAAAGGAAUUGGCGGGG
rnacentral:rRNA from 1 species